ACAUGUGUUUGCAUGUGUAUGUGUCUGUGUAUAUGUGUUUGUGUAUGUACUUGUAUUUGUGUAUGUGUGUGUAUGUGUAUGUGUGUAGGUGUGUGUGUAUGUGUGUAUAUGUAUGUGUGUAUGUGUGCAUAUGUAUGUGGGUGGGUGUUUGUAUGUGUAUGUGUAUCUACGUGUAUGUAUGUAUGCAUAUGUGUGUAUGUAUAUUUGUGUAUGUGUAUGUGUUUAUGUGGGGGGUGUAUGUGUGUAUGUGUGUGUGUAUGCGUGUGUCAGUGUGUGUAUGUGUG
rnacentral:lncRNA from 1 species